rnacentral:rRNA from 1 species
AGCGAACGCUGGCGGCAGGCCUAACACAUGCAAGUCGAACGAACUCUUCGGAGUUAGUGGCGGACGGGUGAGUAACACGUGGGAACGUGCCUUUAGGUUCGGAAUAACUCAGGGAAACUUGUGCUAAUACCGAAUGUGCCCUUCGGGGGAAAGAUUUAUCGCCUUUAGAGCGGCCCGCGUCUGAUUAGCUAGUUGGUGAGGUAAAGGCUCACCAAGGCGACGAUCAGUAGCUGGUCUGAGAGGAUGAUCAGCCACAUUGGGACUGAGACACGGCCCAAACUCCUACGGGAGGAAGCAGUGGGGAAUCUUGCGCAAUGGGCGAAAGCCUGACGCAGCCAUGCCGCGUGAAUGAUGAAGGUCUUAGGAUUGUAAAAUUCUCUCACCGGGGACGAUAAUGACGGUACCCGGAGAAGAAGCCCCGGCUAACUUCGUG